CCUUCUACGCGACCGAGAAACCGACGAGGUGCUUUGGCAGGUGUGUACGGGGACCCACAUCCGGUCGAUCGAUGAUGAGGACGUUCAUCCUGAUAUCUCGUUCCAAAAGGCCGAUUCACCGGAUGAUCCCGAUUACACGCAUGUCCUGAUGGUCU
rnacentral:rRNA from 1 species